ACCGCACUCUUGACUCUGAUCUCCAGCAUCUGCAAUCCUCACUCUCUCCUUUCUCCCUGAAAUGGCAGUACUAUAGUCUGGUAAAUCCCUACAUGGCCAGAAUAACCUUCUCCCAGAUAAGGAGACCAAAACACUGCAUUAUACGCUAGAUGUAGUCUCACCAAGACCCUAUACAAUUGCAGCAAGACAUCCCCACUCUUAUACUCCAAUCCUCACACUAUGAAGACCAACAUCUCAUAUGCCUUCGUCACUGCCUGUGGCACCUGCAUGCUUAUAUUCAGCAUAACUAUCAAAUGCCCUUUAAACCUUUAUGCUAUAUAAAAGCAUUCCCAACUUCCCUGCUGUCUUCAGACCACUGACAUUGACUUACAUUUAGAUGUGCACUUGUGAUCUCAAGGCACAGAAGGCAAUGGGUCAGAUGCUGGAAAAUAGGAUGAGAAUAGUUCAAUGCUCAUGUCUAACUGGUGCAGACUUGAUUGUGGAAAGUGGCCUUUUCUGUCCUGUAGAUUUCUGAGGCUCUCGAACUUCCCCAUCUUUGGUGGCAUUCAGAUAGGUUCAUUUGCAACCUCACCGCGGCUUGAUAUCUUUCUCAAAGUGUAUUGCCCAGAAUGAAUCAUCCAUAGAACUGCUCCAUCCUAGACAUUUAACUGCCCUUUUAUGUCCCUCCCUUUCAUUCCCCAAUAGCCCCCUCAAGCCCAAUAUCUCCCGCAUUUUCUGUGUUUCCAACUUUCAUAUGCCGCACCUUUCGUUUCCUCCAAUCUACCAUCAGUGAGCUUUUCACCAUCUUGCCCAAUAUUAGGGCGACCACAUGUCUUCUCACUUUGAAACUACAGCCUUCAGGCACAGUUCCUACUUUCAACAGCCUGCAGUUCUCUCCAGCUCAGCUCAGAUUUUCAACCGAGAUGUAUCACAGGUAAAGCACUGUACUUUCAGCUGACACAUUCAUCGAGACAAUUUGCAAUCCUUCGCCUCGGAGGGAGACCAAAUACAACGGUGCAAGGGAGGGAUCGGUUUGUUAUCCCUGGAAUCUAGAAGGUUACCGGUUGGUUCGAACGACAUGGGGAACUGGAAGCAGGCGGUGAUAGACUCUUCCCCCUGGACACUGUUGAAACAACUGUGCGGCCAAGCAGGAAUUGAAGUGUUAGUUGCAGAUGACUUGGAGCUGACGGGCUGUACGGAUGCAGCUCUGGUUGGCAACAAGAUGUUGAUUGGUCGAUGGACGAGUGACCGAUGAUUGAUGGCACAGACCUUUUGCCUGUUGACAACUAUAUGGCUUGUUCUCGGGAAACUGAACAGCGUGGAGAUGGCCACAAGUCACAGAGGGAGUGAGAGAGAAAGGUGUUCAGUUCUUUCCCAGCUCUGCACCUUUCAAACUGUGUGGUCAAGCAGGAAUUGAAUUGUGAGUUGCAGAUGACUUGGAGCUGACGGGCUGUACAGAUGUGCCUCUGGUUGGCAACAAGGUGUUGAUUGGUCGAUGGACUAGCGACCGAUGAUUGAUGGCACAGAUCUUUUGUCUGUUGACAACUGUAUGGUUUGUUCUCAGCAAACUGAACAGAUUGGAGAUGGCAACAAGUCGCGGAGGGAGUGAGGGAGAAAAAUGUUCAGUUCUUUCACAGUUCUAGAGCGGCGCGAGCUGGGCGGAAGUGAGGUU